GAUGAACGCUGGCGGCGUGCCUAAUACAUGCAAGUCGAGCGGUAAGGCUCCUUCGGGAGUACACGAGCGGCGGACGGGUGAGUAAUGCAUAGGAACAUACCCCAAACUGAGGGAUAAGCACCGGAAACGGUGUCUAAUACCGCAUAUGGCCUUCGGGUUAAAGCUUUACGCGGUUUGGGAAUGGCCUAUGUCCGAUUAGCUAGUUGGUAAGGUAAAAGCUUACCAAGGCGACGAUCGGUAGCUGGUUUGAGAGGAUGAUCAGCCACACUGGAACUGAGACACGGUCCAGACUCCUACGGGAGGCAGCAGUAGGGAAUUUUCCACAAUGGACGAAAGUCUGAUGGAGCAACGCCGCGUGCAGGAUGAAGGCUUUCGGGUCGUAAACUGCUUUUAUAAGUGAAGAAUAUGACGGUAACUUAUGAAUAAGGGACUGCUAACUACG
rnacentral:rRNA from 1 species